GCCCGAUGGGUUCCUCACAAAGGGGCCCGGCCCAGCCUGGCCUGGCCUGCCUCUGCCGGGUAACAAGGGUGACACAGAAGAAAGAGCUGCCUUUCCCUUGGUACCCAGUAAUGCUUGUGCCUCUGGCCAUGAAGGGAUUCUGCACAGCACAGGAGCACAGAUACUUUUCAUCUGUGGCUGUACUCUGUGUCUGACACAAAGUGGGAUACACAGCAUGUGGUCUUCAAGGUUUCACAAAACAUAAAGGAUCCUUGACUUGUGACAACAAUGAAAAAAGGUAAGAAGAGACUGGACUUCAACCAAACAAGACAUUUAGCCCCAACUAGAAACAGUCUUUUGCUGCUUGGCGUGUUUUUUUGUUAUGUCCUCACAGAGAGCAAAUGUUGUCUUUGUGACUUUAAAAGAUAUGGAUUUUCUAUACAGUUUAAAAAACCUACAGUUCUCCUGUAUUCAAAAUGUUUCCAAUAGCAACUUGAAGGAAACUACAGUAAAUUUACCUGAAAUUCUUCCUGCAUUGCCAAAAUUAACUGUUCUGUGUGCUGUACAUUUCUUGUCUCUGUAUUUUCAUGAAACCAGAAAGAAAUCAAGCUUGAAUGUCAAGACCUCGGGUCCAUUGUGACAGUUGUCCAUAAAUAGCAGUUUCCAUUGUUUUGUGAGCCUUUUGCAUUUAUCUUCCUAUUUUAAUAAACUAUUCAGAUAUAAUCUUUGUCUUUCCUGUUAAAAGUAAAUGAAAGUAUCAAGAGUCUUUUGUAAGAUGGCUGAUGAUAACCUACAGCCAGUGUCAUAGUGGCUAGCUGCAAUCAUCAGCACCUCUUCUGAAAUGAAGACUGUGCUACUUAUCUCCCAAAUCACACAGAGCAGCUGCAUGUGUAUACUGCUGCCCUUAAGCUUGCCUGAGUCAAUAUUUUGGAGAUUUAAGAUGUCCCAGUAUGCUCCUGUAUUCUGGCUUUCAGUUGCAGGUCAUUCAAAAGAGAUAUUGUGCUUUCAUGUUUACCAAUGAUUUUAUAAUUUUUUGCAAGAAAUCAGGUUUAAGUAAAAGCAAAUUAAAAUUACUUUACCACUGAACUUACAAAGAUUUUUAAAUAAACAGGUGACAUAAAAGAGGAGAAAGUAAUUUUCUCCAUUUACCCCAAUGUCAAAUCUGAAAUAACAGUCUCUCUUCCUGUUUCAUCCAGAUGAGAAGCUGUAGAUAAAUUACCUGAGUGUAGCUUUUUUGUACCUCUUCAAUACCAGCUCUGUUAUCACUAAAGAGAGCAACUGGCUGGGGAAGAAUGCAAUUCUUUAUACUUACAACCUUGUUUGGGAUUUAUUCAAGGUUUCAUUUAGAUUCUAAUCUUCCCAGACUUAUUUUCUUUUCAAGAUUAUGGACACUUAGUUUAUUCCAGGGGACUGUUUCAGCCCUGUCAUCUUGGGUUAUGUUUAGACAGUUUAUUUACGCAUAUUUGUCAUCUUAACAAGUGCUUUACUCUACAAGUGGGUACUGUGAUGGACAAUCCUAUAAGUUAAGGCCAUUGAAAGUGUUACUGUUAAAUGUGAAGUUUCAAUAAGUUAAGUGUGUUAAUUAUGUUGUUGUUAAGAUGUAAAACCUCUAAUGUUACUAUUGAUUUGAAGUUGUAAUAAGCAAAGUUGUUGUUACAAGGUUGAACCUUGUAACAGUGUUAAUCCCCGCAGUUCACACCCACCCUUGUUACCUCCCUCAAGUGCUGCCUCCACUGCUCUCUAAAAUAGCGUCGAGGAAACCUCCCUGGGAAAUAUGCAAAUCAAGAGGAAGUCAAGGGAAUCUAACUAAAGACCUUGAAACCGACAAACUAAACUAAAAUUCAAGAAACUAAGUGAAUGGUUCUGCUGGCAAAAAGUACUGCUAUUCAAUUAGUGAGGUUUUAAAAAUCGCUGUAACCUCAACAGAACAAAGUUGAAGUGAGGACCCUAGACUCCGAGUCAGACAGUCGACUUCCUGGGCACACUCGUGAGGACGGAAGCCCCAGUUCUGCUGUGCAGCAAAACUGCGUCACCUCCUCCUCUGCGUCGCUACCGGGAGCAGUGGCGGUGUGCGCGACCCCUCGGGCCCCCACACAGAGCUGAUCCUUUAAUAAAGGCACUAAAAAGGAGAAAGAUCUCCUGCCCAUUUAUAUCAGGUACAACUCUUACUUCCCUGUUAUUGUAAUAUGACAGUCUUGAGUGAAGCCUCUCCUCAUACCAAUUUACAUAAAUGUGCAAAUCAACCACAAUACUUUCCCUGCUAAUUAUUAAUUAAGACCAGACAGAAGAGUUAUUCACUCUGGAGCAAUAACCUCUUUGAAAUCUUUAAUUCAUCAUGUCUCUCAAUACAAGCAAAAAGUACAUCUUGGAAAAUUCAGAUUUCCUACUGAAAUAAUGACUGAAAUCCCCACGUCUAGAGUGUGAUGCAGCAGAAAUCUCAUGAACCCUUUAAAGUUUCUCUUUACCAGGGCUUUUUAUAUUUUUAUAUCAGCUGUAAAACUAAAUAAAGGACUCCAAAGACUAUGCAGAUUUGAUGAGUGAAAAAAGCACUACAGCUACAUACACUGUUGUGGUGUGUUCUUUAUUUGAUAUAUUUUAUUGCUUGAUUUGUGGUUUUUUAAUCACUCUGUGUUUUUCUCCCUGCCUUUGGAGUGGCACAGGUCCCCCAUUUUGUAUCUUAUGUUACUAAAUUUAGACUUGCUUCUUCAUUGUUAUUUACCUCGGUUAACUGUCAGUUCUUGUUUGUUGCCUGGCCACUCCCUGGCAAGUUGUCAAUCCCUCUUGUCCCUACCCUUUUUUCCCCCAAAGCCUUCCCUGUCCCCCCCUUCUUAGAUGUCAAUCCUUCCCUAAGCCUGCCCUUCCCUCCAGAACCUUCUGUGUCAGUUUUGUAUCCUUUGAAACCCCAUUGGUUUGCUUAAGCCUUUCCCCUCCCUUAAGGUCCUCUAUUGGUUUACAGAUUGUAUUGCCCCACUUUGUGUUCCACCCUCAGUCUUCCCCAUUGGUUAAAAAUUGUAUCCUCCCCCAAGACUGCCCCUGGUUUUAAGUUAAUG